GGAAGUUAUUAACUAAAAAAAUGUAGAUAAUGCUAUAAUACAAUAACUGUAGGAAAGCAGCGGCUUGCGAUGAUUUAUGACACAAUAAAUCCUCGUUACAUUACGAACAUUGAAAAUAAAUUUUUUUUAGUAUAACGAAUUCAUAUAAUUGAAUGAAUGCUGCCGGAAUAUAAUAUUUUCAUAGUAACAAAAAUAUAAUAAUUAUAUUUUGACAGACUGAUAUAUAAAAAAAUGUGACACAGUUUCUGUGAUAGUUUUCAGUUCCCCUUAAUAGUCUAUUCAUUCCAAAUAAUCCCAUUAUGCUGCACGAAAUGUUCAAAAUUGUAGGUACUUCCUAUCUGGGGAUGAGGAGAUCAAGCGUCAUCUACAAUCCUAGAUACUGCAAUGUAUAUUGGUAUGUACCUACAAAAUCAUUGCAAGAUUGGUUUUUAUUUAUAUUUCGGGUACUUAUUUAGAUUUGUUUCUUUUUCUAUAUGAGUAAUGUUUUCCUCUAAAAGUCUAAAUUAUGAAAUUUUAUUUUAUUAUAAUAAUGCACUUGGGCUUUAAGUGGUAAUAAUUCUUCUAAAUUUAGGCAAGAUUUUUAAUAGAUAAAUAUUCAUAGUAUCUUGUCUUGUAAGUUUAGUAUUAAAGUUAAAUAUUCAACCCAUUUUAUAAUAUAUUUUUUCCCAUAACUUAGUCUCUUACAUAGUUACAUCGAAUGUAUCGACUGUUUUCGCACUUUACGAAGAUAAAUAAUUAUAAGUACUUUUAUAUACUUAAUAAUAAUGUUGUGUUUUAUAGAAUCUAAUAAACGUUUUUAUUUAGAAAUUUAGAAUUUAUUUAUUUAUAUUUAAUUUAUCUACUUAAGCGUAUAACAUAAAACACUUCAUUACAAUAAUAAACUACACAAGUGUAGUAUAGUAAUACCACAUUGGCACAUUGUUACGUUUAUCUCCGUAGAUAAGUACAAUACGCUCAACAACACACAUCCACAAACAAUUUAAAAAAAAACAAAGAGUUAUGAAGGUUUUUAACCACUGUAAUGACUGUUAUUUUAAUUCAAUGCAUUUAAUGAUAUUAAUUACAUUAGAAUGAAUUCUACAGUAGUUAUUAGAAUUUCGAAUUGUAAAAAUGUAACAGUUUCCCGAGCACAACGUCAAGUAUAAGAUAAACUAAGGAGAUAAUAUACCUUUAGAAGGAAAACCAUAGAAUAAUGUUACACUCAGAGUAUAAGGUCUAUAGGGGGAAAACAUAUUUCGGUCAAUAUUUUAGCUAUUGCCAAUAUUAUAGCCGCGAGAAAAUUCUAAAUUCCACUAUAUAUAUCGCGACGAUAAUAGCAUAAUAAUUAAUAUGCGACCGGCAAAAAUGGGAAUGGAUAGAAUAACAUAAACAGGUAGGCAUAAUAAUGAUAUUAAAAUAGGUACUACGAGACGGUCGAAAUGACGCCGACCGCGAGACGUGUACUCGUUGCACGGUCGCGGGACACGUACCCGCGUAGGCAUAUACGAUUUCCGUCAGUCAGUCUCGUCGGGCGCUCGUCGAGUAGUCGGAUGCGCUGCACGACGACCGACGGCGACGAUGCGCUCACGUCACAAACGAUAUAAUAAUAUAAUAAAUGAUAAUGUAACAUUAUUGUAACGUCCGUGGACGGAUUGCGGCGGCCGUAAAUAUUCGGCGUGAGCGCUGUGCGAGAGGGCGACCAUGGGCGAGAGCCAUCAUCCGCGCCGGGCAGCACACAGGCAUUCUUCGGCGACCUCAUCUCCGCCGCCGCCGCCGCCGCCGCCGCCAUUCAUGUCUUCUUUCUUUUUUCGAAGCUCGCACGCACGCACGCACACACCACGGCCAGUGUACGAUACCAGGAAUAUGAAGAAAAGAACAACUAUAUAAGUUAAUAGUAUUGUGCAUUAUAGUAGUUAUAUGCCCGUGCUCUAUGAUUUCAAAAUUACUCAAAAGAUCCAGAUAUCAAUGAACAAUAAUUAAACUUCGAUAGAACAUACAUCAAUGGACUUACAAGAGAAUUUAAGAAUUACUACAAAAUCGAAUGGCUUGGCAUCAUUGGGUUCUUCACUAAAAUACUAUCCUUUAUAAAUUUAUAAUAUAAAGUUCAUAAUCCUAAGAAAAGAAACACAGGUAGAACAAAAUAUAAGUAAAAGAUAAAUUGAUAUUUUGCA